GCCUCCGUGGCGCAAUCGGCUAGCGCGUUCGGCUGUUAACCGAAUGGUUGGAGGUUCAAGCCCUCCCGGGGGCG
rnacentral:tRNA from 1 species